rnacentral:rRNA from 1 species
AUUGAACGCUGGCGGCAUGCCUUACACAUGCAAGUCGAACGGCAGCACGGGGCAACCUGGUGGCGAGUGGCGAACGGGUGAGUAAUGCUUCGGAACGUACCUUUCAGUGGGGGAUAACGUAGCGAAAGUUACGCUAAUACCGCAUAUUCUGUGAGCAGGAAAGCAGGGGAUCGCAAGACCUUGCGCUGAUUGAGCGGCCGAUGUCAGAUUAGCUAGUUGGUGAGGUAAAGGCUCACCAAGGCGACGGUCUGUAGCGGGUCUGAGAGGAUGAUCCGCCACACUGGAACUGAGACACGGUACAGACUCCUACGGGAGGCAGCAGUGGGGAAUUUUGGACAAUGGGGGCAACCCUGAUCCAGCCAUGCCGCGUGAGUGAAGAAGGCCUUCGGGUUGUAAAGCUCUUUCGGCCGGGAAGAAAUCGCACGGGCUAAUACCCUGUGUGGAUGACGGUACCGGAAUAAGAAGCACCGGCUAACUACGUGCCAGCCGCCGCAGUAA